rnacentral:rRNA from 1 species
CCCUUAGAUGUUCUGGGCUGCACGCGCGCUACACUGAUACUUUCAGCGAGUCCACCACCUUGCCUGAGAGGGUGGGGUAACCUCUGGAAAGUGUAUCGUGAUGGGGAUCGAUUAUUGUAAUUAUUAAUCUUCAACGAGGAAUUCCUAGUAAGCAUGUGUCAUCAGCCCGUGCUGAUUACGUCCCUGCCCUUUGUACACACCGCCCGUCGCUCCUACCGAUUGAGUGAUCCGGUGAGGCUUUGGGAUCUGAGCGGAAAGAGCGUUUCGCUGUUUCUGCUCGGAAAACUCAGUCGAACCUUAUCAUUUAGAGGAAGGAGAAGUCGUAACA